rnacentral:rRNA from 1 species
GACGAACGCUGGCGGCGUGCUUAACACAUGCAAGUCGAACGGAAAGGCCCUGCUUUUGUGGGGUGCUCGAGUGGCGAACGGGUGAGUAACACGUGAGUAACCUGCCCUUGACUUUGGGAUAACUUCAGGAAACUGGGGCUAAUACCGGAUAGGAGCUCCUGCUGCAUGGUGGGGGUUGGAAAGUUUCGGCGGUUGGGGAUGGACUCGCGGCUUAUCAGCUUGUUGGUGGGGUAGUGGCUUACCAAGGCUUUGACGGGUAGCCGGCCUGAGAGGGUGACCGGCCACAUUGGGACUGAGAUACGGCCCAGACUCCUAUGGGAGGCAGCAGUGGGGAAUAUUGCACAAUGGGCGGAAGCCUGAUGCAGCAACGCCGCGUGCGGGAUGAAGGCCUUCGGGUUGUAAACCGCUUUCGCCUGUGACGAAGCGUGAGUGACGGUAAUGGGUAAAGAAGCACCGGCUAACUACGUG